UUUCUGUCUCAUACACACUCUCCCUCGUGUACUGUCCUCUUUCUGCAUUGCGGCUAGGGUUUCACCUAAAAAAUCCCUAUUUUUGUUGUUGUUUGUGUACUGAUUUUACAACUGAUUUGAUGGAUAUUCGAAUGAACUAGCGGUUGACGCGGUGGGUUUCACACAUACGAAGGUAAAAAGGGUUUUUGUAGCUCUUGAAAAUGGCGGAUUUGAACCCCUUUGAUUUGCUUGGUGAUGAUGAUAACGAUGAUCCAUCGAAGCUGAUUGCUAUUCACCAGCAAAAAGUUGAUCCGGCGAAGAAAGCCUCAGCUCCGGCGCCGGCGGCGGCUAAGAAACAGCCGGCGAAGCUCCCCACUAAGCCUCCUCCCCCUACUCAAGCUGUCAGGGAGGCAAAAACAGAAUCUGGACGUGGUGGAGGUAGAGGUGGUGGACGUGGCUACAGCUGUGGUCGUGGUGGAGGUGGGUUCAAUAGGGAAGGAUCCAACAAUGAGAACUUUGCUCGCAACAGAGAAUUUUCAGGUGGUAUUGCUGCGCCUGAAUACGUGGAAGGAGGAAGACCCUCUGAAAGACGCGGUGGUUAUGGUGGACCCCGUGCUUUCCGUGGUGGUAGACAAGGUGGUUUUGGUAAUGGAGAAAUGCCUGAGGGGGACCGGCCUCGUAGGACAUUUGAACGCCGUAGUGGUACUGGACGCGGAAGUGAGAUAAAGCGUGAAGGUGCUGGCCGAGGAAACUGGGGAACUGAAGCAGAUGAAGUUACUCUGAUGACUGGUGAAGUUGCUGAUGAAGGUGAGAAAAAUCUGAAUGUGGAGAAACCCUCCACCGAAGAAGAAGCAGGAGUUGAUAAGAAGGAAAAUCCAGCUGCUGAAGCUGCGGACAAGGAGCCUGAAGAUAAGGAGAUGACCCUUGAAGAGUAUGAGAAGUUGCUAGAAGAAAAACGGAAGGCUUUGCAGGCGCUUAAGACUGAGGAAAGGAAGGUCGACACCAAAGUAUUUGAAUCCAUGCAACAGAUUUCAAAGAAAUCCAGUGAUGAAAUCUUUGUCAAAUUGGGCUCCAAGGAUAAGAGAAAAGAGUCUGCUGAGAAGGAAGAAAAGGCAAAGAAGGCGGUCAGCAUUAAUGAGUUUUUGAAGCCUGCUGAGGGUGAGAGGUAUUAUGCACCUGGUGGUCGAGGUCGAGGGCGUGGCCGCGGUUCUAGAGGUUACAGUGAAGCCAACACGAUGAGCAAUGUGGAAGCUGCUCCUCCCAUUGAAGACCCAGGUCACUUCCCUACAUUGGGUGGCAAGUGAUGUGCUUUUUUAGUGCUUUUCUACCACGUCCAAGAGGCAAAUCUGACUAUAAUAAUGGAGUGGAAGUUUCAAUGUAAAUUUCUUCCGUUUAUGUGAUACCCUCUGUAGUUUUAUUUUAUCUGAUGUUUUACUCUUCUGAUCCUACUGGGUUAUAUGAAGCACAUUAACUUAUUUUGCUGUUUUAUUCUAG
rnacentral:misc_RNA from 1 species